rnacentral:rRNA from 1 species
GACGAACGCUGGCGGCGUGCUUAACACAUGCAAGUCGAACGAAGUGGCGAACGGGUGAGUAACGCGUAAUCAACCUGCCCUUCAGGGGGGGACAACAGAUGGAAACGACUGCUCAUACCGCAUACGGCAGGAGGGGAUUGCGUCGGCUUAGCUAGUUGGAGGGGUAACGGCCCACCAAGGAGAUGAACAGGAGCCGGACGGAGAGGAUGAACGGCCACAUUGGGACGGAGGAACGGCCCAGACUCGUACGGGAGGCAGCAGUGGGGAGACUUCCGGAAUGGGCGAGAGUCUGACGGAGCAGCGCGGCGGGAUGGAGGACGGCCUUCGGGUUAGAGAGCUCUGUUAAUCGGUUCGCGGUACCGGAAUAGAAAGCCACGGCUAACUCCGUGCCAGCAGCCGCGGUAAUAC